rnacentral:hammerhead_ribozyme from 1 species
AUCCAGCUGACCAGUGCCAAAUAGGAUGAAAUGCGCGUUGUCCUGGAU